GAUGAACGCUGGCGGCGUGCCUAAUACAUGCAAGUCGAGCGAAUGACGAGGAGCUUGCUCCUCUGAUUUAGCGGCGGACGGGUGAGUAACACGUGGGUAACCUGCCUGUAAGACGGGGAUAACUCCGGGAAACCGGAGCUAAUACCGGAUGAUAACGAGAAGCGCCUGCUUCUUGUUUGAAAGUCGGUUUCGGCUGACGCUUACAGAUGGGCCCGCGGCGCAUUAGCUAGUUGGUGGGGUAACGGGUCACCAAGGCGACGAUGCGUAGCCGACCUGAGAGGGUGAUCGGCCACACUGGGACUGAGACACGGCCCAGACUCCUACGGGAGGCAGCAGUAGGGAAUCUUCGGCAAUGGACGAAAGUCUGACCGAGCAACGCCGCGUGAGCGAUGAAGGCCUUCGGGUCGUAAAGCUCUGUUGUCAGAGAAGAACAAGUACCGGAGUAACUGCCGGUACCUUGACGGUACUUGACCAGAAAGCCACGGCUAACUACGUGCCAGCCGCCGCAGUAA
rnacentral:rRNA from 1 species